GCGGCGGAUGGGUGAGUAACACGUGGGGAACCUGCCCCUAAGUCUGGGAUACCAUUUGGAAACAGGUGCUAAUACCGGAUAAUAAAGCGGAUCGCAUGAUCAGCUUUUGAAAGGCGGCGUAAGCUGUCGCUAAGGGAUGGCCCCGCGGUGCAUUAGCUAGUUGGUAAGGUAACGGCUUACCAAGGCGACGAUGCAUAGCCGAGUUGAGAGACUGAUCGGCCACAUUGGGACUGAGACACGGCCCAAACUCCUACGGGAGGCAGCAGUAGGGAAUCUUCCACAAUGGACGCAAGUCUGAUGGAGCAACGCCGCGUGAGUGAAGAAGGUUUUCGGAUCGUAAAGCUCUGUUGUUGGUGAAGAAGGAUAGAGGUAGUAACUGGCCUUUAUUUGACGGUAAUCAACCAGAAAGUCACGGCUAACUACGUGCCAGCAGCCGCGGUAAUACGUAGGUGGCAAGCGUUGUCCGGAUUUAUUGGGCGUAAAGCGAGCGCAGGCGGAAAAAUAAGUCUAAUGUGAAAGCCCUCGGCUUAACCGAGGAACUGCAUCGGAAACUGUUUUUCUUGAGUGCAGAAGAGGAGAGUGGAACUCCAUGUGUAGCGGUGGAAUGCGUAGAUAUAUGGAAGAACACCAGUGGCGAAGGCGGCUCUCUGGUCUGCAACUGACGCUGAGGCUCGAAAGCAUGGGUAGCGAACAGGAUUAGAUACCCUGGUAGUCCAUGCCGUAAACGAUGAGUGCUAAAUGUUGGGAGGUUUCCGCCUCUCAGUGCUGCAGCUAACGCAUUAAGCACUCCGCCUGGGGAGUACGACCGCAAGGUUGAAACUCAAAGGAAUUGACGGGGGCCCGCACAAGCGGUGGAGCAUGUGGUUU
rnacentral:rRNA from 1 species